UUUCGGUUUAAUUGCUCGUUAAGUAGUCUAUUCAUGCACAACUUCACACUAUCUUGAAAAUCCUCCAAAUUUUUAUGCAAACCAAUACGUCUUACUAUUCAACAAUCACAACCGAAGACUUGAUCAGACAGUUCUAAACGUCUACUUCUGAUGAGAAUUGAGAUCUAAAAUCUAACAUUUUUGUAAAUAUAAAGUUUAAUUUGCCGAAAUGCGUUUAAUUACAAUCCAGUUCACUUUUAUAGUAAUUUUUCCAUUUCUUUCACAUCCACUUCCAAGCACCGCCGCUGCGUCAAAGCAUUUACACCCAUCAAAGUCAUCAAUACCUGAAUUAAGCGAUAUUCAUCCAAAUACAUUAUUCAGAAGAGAUUGCGAGAAUGAAGUAAAAGCAAACACGCCGCGAGCUCCCAAUAGAAGAGAUGAUGAUCCAAGCAGCCAAAAGUGCAUGCUAUAUUGUGGCUUCAAAAAAAUUGGAAUGAUAUCCAACAAUGCGAACCUGAACGCGACCUUUUUACGAGUCCACAUUAAUGAAAAUAGAGAAGAUAUUUUAAAACAAAUUCGUAAAUGUGCAUCUAAAAAUAGUGGUCUAAAUAUUUGUUCUAAAGCAAUGAAAAACGCAGAUUGUGCACUUGAACAUGUCAAUCGUGAAUGGGUUGCGAUAGUGCUGAAACAAUUGAUGAAGUGAACUGAAAGUAUCAGACAGACGAUCAUGCAAGUGUUGUGUAUUUUUUUUUUUUAAAGUGAAAAGAUUUAUUACGUAGAAUUUUUAAGAACUAAAACAUGUAUCAUCUAUUACAAUCAUAGUGAAAGCACUGAUAUCGUCUGAAGUAUAAUAUGCAUAGGUAUUCUUAAAUAUUGAAGCUUUUCAUUGAAUUAAAAAAUUACAAAUUUA